rnacentral:lncRNA from 1 species
AAAGAACUAUUUUUUUGUUUUAGGUCACUUUUUGGGGGUGUUUUAAGAAUUUACGUGUAUAUAUUUUUUUGUUUAAUGCACCGGGUAAGUAAUACCGUCACUAGCCAAGUAAAUAUCAUAAUUGAUUCAGAUUAUUUUUUCAUUUUAUUUCUUUUACUUAACAGUAAAAAACAAUUUAUUAUUAUUUUGAUUAGUGGUUAUAUAUAUAUUGAUUUGCAGUUGAGUGAAGG